rnacentral:tRNA from 1 species
GGGAUUGUAGUUCAAUGGUUAGAGCACCUCCCUGUCACGGAGGAAGUUGCGGGUUCGAGUCCCGUCGGUCCCG